CUUCCCUCCCUCUCUGACGCGCCGAGGUGAACCAAAGGAACAGAACAAGCUCCAAAUGGAACAGGAGGGGAAAGGGAAACGCACAAACUGGGAAGACAGACAUGGGAUUAUGUGAUGCGAGGAGGCGUGCCAGCAUUGAAGUUUGGAUGAGUACGCGCGAGAAACACACGCAAGCCAACCGGAUCAUUUACGCAGUGUCAUUGAGCCGCGGUGGACUUCUUCCUGAACUUCUGCCUCUGCUGAUGCUCGUUCUUUCCUCCCUGUUCUGUUGUAGCUGGGAAUCUAAACUGUAAACUUAGAGGGGAUUGAAAAAAAGUUUGAAUCCCGGCGCGUAAAACGCAAAAAAACUUGGAACGGUGUGCGUCGCCACCAGCACAGCAUGCAGGGCCUGAGCUCCAAAGCGCACGCGUUUUCAGUGGAAGCGCUGGUCGGGAAACCCUGCAAGAGGAUGAAAGUGUCGGAGGAUUCAAGUUCAGAUGGAGACAUGGACAUCAUCACCGCAGGAAUAUCCCCACAGCCAGGCAAAGAGAUCCGUGUCUGCGGAUGUGAGGCCGGAUGAGACCCACAGUGACCAUCAAAGACAAAGUGACUGCUCUGCUCCAGAGGACUGUGACCCGGUCAGAGGGAAGAGUCACAAGCCGAAGGAGAGCGACCGUGACGCGGACACGGAGCUGCGAGUGGAGCUGCAGGGAUCCGAGCUGUGGAAACGCUUCUUUGACAUCGGAACCGAGAUGAUCAUCACGAAAGCUGGCCGGUAUAGUUACAUAUAGAAGUUUUUAGCUUUUCUUCACCUUUAGUGAAGAUAAAGUCUGGUUUAAUUUCGACGUAAUAUAAAAAAUUAAACAUGUUUCUGCAAUGACCAUCAUUUUAAUUUAUACACACAGGACUAAUGAGCUUUUCAACUAUAAGGUUAAUAUUAAUAGUGGAAACACACAAAGGCUUCAGGCCUUAUAUUGACUAAAAUAAUUGAAUAUUUCACUGAAACGAUAUAUUGGGGUAAUGUACACGUAAAAGCUGGAGUAAGUGUUUUUAUUUAUUAAAAAAAUACCCAUUUUUUUCCGUUUAAAAAAAUAUAAAUAAUUUAAUUUAAUUAUUUUAUAACGUAGCGUGAAACACAGCACAGUGAC
rnacentral:lncRNA from 1 species